rnacentral:rRNA from 1 species
CGGAACGGAGGCACGGAGUGGGCGGGAAUACGUAGGGUGGUAUGGUGAUCCGGAAUUAUGUGGCGUAAAGAUGUCGUAGGCGGGUUGUGGCUGCUGUCGGGAAAGGCCGGGGCUUAACCCCGGAUCUGCGGGUGGGACGGGCAGACUAGAGUGCAGUAGGGGAGACUGGAAUUCCUGGUGUAGCGGUGGAAUGCGCAGAUAUCAGGAGGAACACCGAUGGCGAAGGCAGGUCUCUGGGCUGUAACUGACGCUGAGGAGCGAAAGCAUGGGGAGCGAACAGGAUUAGAUACCCUAGUAGUC